GAGGACCUGAGAGAGAGGCCCCCACACUGGACACAUUUAAAAGCAGUCUUCACGAAGGCUUUGUGGGCUGUCAGAUCCUGGCCUUAACCAAAGCUUACUUCUCUGGUUUGGCUCAUAAAGGGGUGCAUGAGCUCAUCGGUGAUGGUGCCUGUUCCCUGGCCAGUCAUGUCGGUUGGUAACAUGGUGUAUCACUGAUACCCACUUCUCUUUCAGCACUUUGGCAUCACCCUCACAGGAAACACAAACUUCAUUCAUUCAUUCAUUCAGAUGCAUUCGGGCAUCUGAUUGUGAUGCCUCUGGGGCACCUUCCUUUGGAGGUUUUCCAGGCACAUCCGACUGAGAAGAGACCGUGG